rnacentral:misc_RNA from 1 species
AUAAAUGAUAAAAUUAUAAUUUUUAUUAAUAAUUCAAAUAAUCGAAUAGCAUAAUAGAAAUGUUGGUUGGGUUGAGUUUGGCUUGUUUUGGUGUCUAUUUAUGGGGAGUCAAAAAAUUCGUUUAGCAAAUAAAUUUUGUUUGGUUAACUAAAUAUUUAACCCUACCUCCAAAAAUACCCCACGUAAGAGCAUCAUUGGUAAUAACAUGGUAAGAAAAACACAAAGAUGUAUGAGAAUAUAGCAAGAUUCAGUGUUGCUGAAAGGCAGCACAUAGACAGAAAAAGAGGGAAACAGG